UCCCUUGUUCUUUUAUUUUAGGCGGUCUACUUGCAAGAUAUCCCAGUCCAGGAUGCCAGAGGACAGGUGUUGCUGCUGCCCCAAGCAUGCCAAGGAGCAGAGAUGAGCAGGUAUUCUCUGGGCAGUCUCCAGAGUCCAAUCCAUGCUUGAGGUUCCGUGAGGAAAGGCAGAGCCAAAGUUUGUAACCGGCCGCACCAAAGGCGGUGUGGGGGAUGUCUCGAUCCUAUCAAGGAUGGUUUUUGUCCGAUCGUGUUACAAAAGCUCCUCAGAGCCUUUGCAGGGCAGGGCAGUUCCAAUCCAUCUUCUCAUUUUCACGUUUCACGUCGUCGGCCAUCUCAGCCUCUCGAUGUAAUGGUGGACUUUUUCCUCCGAGGAACCAGCCUUCGCGUCUGCAGCUAUCGCCAUGGUCACGCGGCAGACAUCGCCUGUGCUUGCCUUGUAACUGUAUUGUGUUUGCCUUGUAACUGUAUUGGCUUGGAGCUGCCCUGCCCUGGCACAGUUACAGUUAGGUAGAACAGGUAUAAAAUGGUAUAGUUCCUUUUUUCUAUGAGGUUUUGUGUAGAAAAUGUGUGGGCCUAGAGGGGGGCUGAAUCCUAGCUACCAUACAAUCCCUCAGUGACCACCUUGUGUUGUCUUGCGGGUCUCUGAUGCCUAUUUUCUGAGAAUCUAGCAAUCGAUGUUGAGAAGCAGCAGUGAGAAGAUAUUUUGGGGCAUUUUGUUCAGCACAGUGUUUCAAAUAAGGGUUGUGGUCACUGUGUAAGAGUCUCUUGCUGUGUGUCAGAAUGUGUCUGUGAGCGUUGGUGUGUCUGAGUCUGCUUGUGUGUGGGUUGAGUGGUUCUAAUAUUGUGUGUAU